rnacentral:rRNA from 1 species
GAUGAACGCUGGCGGCGUGCCUAAUACAUGCAAGUCGAGCGAACGGACGAGAAGCUUGCUUCUCUGAUGUUAGCGGCGGACGGGUGAGUAACACGUGGAUAACCUACCUAUAAGACUGGGAUAACUUCGGGAAACCGGAGCUAAUACCGGAUAAUAUUUUGAACCGCAUGGUUCAAAAGUGAAAGACGGUCUUGCUGUCACUUAUAGAUGGAUCCGCGCUGCAUUAGCUAGUUGGUAAGGUAACGGCUUACCAAGGCAACGAUGCAUAGCCGACCUGAGAGGGUGAUCGGCCACACUGGAACUGAGACACGGUCCUGACUCCUACGGGAGGCAGCAGUAGGGAAUCUUCCGCAAUGGGCGAAAGCCUGACGGAGCAACGCCGCGUGAGUUAUGAAGGUCUUCGGAUCGUAAAACUCUGUUAUUAGGGAAGAACAUAUGUGUAAGUAACUGUGCACAUCUUGACGGUACCUAAUCAGAAAGCCACGGCUAACUACGUG